rnacentral:rRNA from 1 species
AACAUUGAUAACACCCUACAUCUGCUAUCCGCCCGGGAACUACGAGCAUCAGCUUGAAACCCAAAGGACUUGGCGGUGCUUUAGAUCCACCUAGAGGAGCCUGUUCUAGAACCGAUAACCCCCGUUAAACCUCACCCCUCCUUGUUUUUCCCGCCUAUAUACCGCCGUCGUCAGCUUACCCUGUGAAGGUUCUAUAGUAAGCAAAAUUGGCACAGCCCAAAACGUCAGGUCGAGGUGUAGCGUAUGGAGGGGGAAGAAAUGGGCUACAUUCCCUAAUGCAGUGAAUACGAACGAUGAACUGAAAUGUUCAUCUGAAGGAGGAUUUAGCAGUAAGCAGGAAAUAGAGUGUUCCGCUGAAAUUGGCCCUGAAGCGCGCACACACCGCCCGUCACCUCAAAA